rnacentral:rRNA from 1 species
GGGCCCGCACAAGCGGUGGAGCAUGUGGUUUAAUUCGACGCAACGCGCAGAACCUUACCAGGGUUUGACAUCCUGUGCUCGACUCCGAAAGGGGUUUUCCCCGCAAGGGGCGCAGAGACAGGUGCUGCAUGGCUGUCGUCAGCUCGUGUCGUGAGAUGUUGGGUUAAGUCCCGCAACGAGCGCAACCCUCGCCUUUAGUUGCCAUCAUUCAGUUGGGCACUCUAGAGGGACCGCCGGCGACAAGCCGGAGGAAGGUGGGGAUGACGUCAAGUCCUCAUGGCCCUUACACCCUGGGCUACACACGUGCUACAAUGGCGGUGACAGUGGGCAGCUACUCAGCGAUGAGCGGCUAAUCCCAAAAAACCGUCCCAGUUCAGAUUGCACUCUGCAACUCGAGUGCAUGAAGGUGGAAUCGCUAGUAAUCGCAGAACAGCAGGCUGCGGUGAAUACGUUCCCGGGCCUU